rnacentral:rRNA from 1 species
AGAGUUUGAUCAUGGCUCAGAUUGAACGCUGGCGGCAGGCCUAACACAUGCAAGUCGAACGGUAACAGGAAUCAGCUUGCUGAUUUGCUGACGAGUGGCGGACGGGUGAGUAAUGUCUGGGAAACUGCCUGAUGGAGGGGGAUAACUACUGGAAACGGUAGCUAAUACCGCAUAACGUCGCAAGACCAAAGAGGGGGACCUUCGGGCCUCUUGCCAUCGGAUGUGCCCAGAUGGGAUUAGCUAGUAGGUGGGGUAACGGCUCACCUAGGCGACGAUCCCUAGCUGGUCUGAGAGGAUGACCAGCCACACUGGAACUGAGACACGGUCCAGACUCCUACGGGAGGCAGCAGUGGGGAAUAUUGCACAAUGGGCGCAAGCCUGAUGCAGCCAUGCCGCGUGUAUGAAGAAGGCCUUAGGGUUGUAAAGUACUUUCAGCGGGGAGGAAGGGAGUAAAGUUAAUACCUUUGCUCAUUGACGUUACCCGCAGAAGAAGCACCGG